UUCCGGUUGAUCCCGCCGGACCUGACUGCUAUCGGAUUGAUACUAAGCCAUGCGAGUCUUUGUAGUAAUACAAGGCAUACGGCUCAGUAACGCGUAGUCAACCUACCCUAUGGACAAGAAUAAUCUCGGGAAACUGAGCAUAAUUCUUGAUAGAUCAUAAUGCCUGGAAUGGUUUAUGGUUAAAAUGAUUCGUCGCCAUAGGAUGGGACUGCGGCCUAUCAGCUUGUUGGUGAGGUAAUGGCCCACCAAGGCGAUUACAGGUACGGGCUCUGAGAGGAGAAGCCCGGAGAUGGGUACUGAGACAAGGACCCAGGCCCUAUGGGGCGCAGCAGGCGAGAAAACUUUGCAAUGUGCGAAAGCACGACAAGGUUAGUCCGAGUGAUUUCUGCUAAAGAGAUCUUUUGCUAGUUAUAAAACCACUAGUGAAUAAGGGGUGGGCAAGUUCUGGUGUCAGCCGCCGCGGUAAAACCAGCACCUCAAGUGGUCAGGAUGAUUAUUGGGCCUAAAGCAUCCGUAGCCGGCUCUGUAAGUUUUCGGUUAAAUCUAUGCGCUCAACGUAUGGGCUGCCGAAAAUACUGUAGAGAUAGGGAGUGGGAGAGGUAGACGGUACUCGGUAGGAAGGGGUAAAAUCCUUUGAUCUAUCGAUGACCACCUGUGGCGAAGGCGGUCUACCAGAACACGUUCGACGGUGAGGGAUGAAAGCUGGGGGAGCAAACCGGAUUAGAUACCCGGGUAGUCCCAGCUGUAAACGAUGCAGACUCGAUGAUGCAUUGGCAUAUAGCCAGUGCAGUGUCGCAGGGAAGCCGUUAAGUCUGCCGCCUGGGAAGUACGUACGCAAGUAUGAAACUUAAAGGAAUUGGCGGGGGAGCACCACAAGGGGUGAAGCCUGCGGUUCAAUUGGAUUCAACGCCGG
rnacentral:rRNA from 1 species